rnacentral:hammerhead_ribozyme from 1 species
AUCCAACUGACGAGUUCAAAAUAGUGCGGAACCCUCGUCCUGGAU